GGGGGUUUAGCUCAGUGGUAGAGCACUUGCCUAGCAAGCGCAAGGCCCUGGGUUCGGUCCCCAGCUCCA
rfam:Rattus norvegicus chromosome 11, whole genome shotgun sequence.